AAUAAUGUAAAAACAUCAUUAAAGGAUCAAAACAAUUUGUCCUUUAGAGUUUUUAGGGCCUAAACGUAAAAACGUAAACUUUUGGGCCAAAAUGCAAAAAACACAAAAGUAUCAAAACUUUAUGUUAAUUGCACAAAAGGCCCCAAAAGGACCCCCACUAGGGGUGGCCGGCCAUUUGGAGUGAACAAGUGAAAAAUUAAAUUUUUGAAAAAGUGUUUGCAAGUUGAUUAAAGUACUUAAGCAAGUGGAUUGGUUGGUGA
rnacentral:lncRNA from 1 species